CAGGGUGCAAGGUGUUCUAUCACGGGUGCAGGGUGUUUUAUCACGGGUACAAGGUGUUCUAUCACGGUUGCAGGGUGCAGGGUGUUCUAUCAUGGGUGCAGGGUGUUCUAUCACGGGUGCAGGGUGCAGGGUGUUUUAUCACGGGUGCAGGGUGUUCUAUCAUGGGUGCAGGGUGCAGGGUGUUUUAUCACGGGUACAAGGUGUUCUAUCACGGUUGCAGGGUGCAGGGUGUUCUAUCAUGGGUGCAGGGUGUUUUAUCACGGGUACAGGGUGUUCUAUCACGGGUGCAGGGUGCAGGGUGUUUUAUCACGGGUGCAGGGUGUUCUAUCAUGGGUGCAGGGUGCAGGGUGUUUUAUCACGGGUACAGGGUGUUCUAUCACGGGUACAAGGUUUUCUAUCAUGGGUGCAGGGUGUUCUAUCACGGGUACAAGGUGUUCUAUCACGGGUACAAGGUGUUCUAUCACGGGUACAGGGUGUUCUAUCACGGGUGCAGGGUGCAGGGUGUUCUAUCAUGGGUGCAGGGUGCAGGGUGUUUUAUCACGGGUACAGGGUGUUCUAUCACGGGUGCAGGGUGUUCUAUCAUGGGUACAAGGUGUUCUAUCACGGGUACAAGGUGUUCUAUCACGGGUACAGGGUGUUCUAUCAUGGGUGCAGGGUGCAGGGUGUUCUAUCAUGGGUGUAGGGUGCAGGGUGUUUUAUCACGGGUACAAGGUGUUCUAUCAUGGGUGCAGGGUGCAGGGUGUUUUAUCACGGGUACAGGGUGUUCUAUCACGGGUACAAGGUUUUCUAUCAUGGGUGCAGGGUGUUCUAUCAUGGGUACAAGGUGUUCUAUCAUGGGUGCAGGGUGCAGGGUGUUUUAUCACGGGUGCUGGGUGUUUUAUCACGGGUACAGGGUGUUCUAUCACAGGUGCAGGGUGUUCUAUCAUGGGUGCAGGGUGUUCUAUCAUGGGUGC
ensembl:lncRNA